rnacentral:misc_RNA from 1 species
UUUCUUCAGCAUCUGUUAUGU